rnacentral:rRNA from 1 species
GAUGAACGCUGGCGGCGUGCCUAAUACAUGCAAGUCGAGCGGACGGACGAGCUGCUUGCUUCUCUGUUGUUAGCGGCGGACGGGUGAGUAACACGUGGAUCACCUAUCUAUAAGACUGAGAUAACUUCGGGAAACCGGAGAUAAUACCGGAUAAUAUUUUGAACCGCAUGGUUCAAAAGUGAAAGACAGUCUUGAUGUCACUUAUAGAUGGAUCCGCGCUGCAUUAGCUAGUUGGUAAGGUAACGGCUUACCAAGGCAACGAUGCAUAGCCGACCUGAGAGGGUGAUCGGGCACACUGGAACUGAGACCCGGUCCAGACUCCUACGGGAGGCAGCAGUAGGGAACCUUCCGCAAUGGGCGAGAGCCUGACGGAGCAACGCCGCGUGAGUGAGGAAGGUCUUCGGAUCGUAAAACUCUGUUAUUAGGGAAGAACAGAUGUGUAAGUAACUGUGCACAUCUUGACGGUACCUAAUCAGAAAGCCACGGCUAACUACGUG